rnacentral:lncRNA from 1 species
UCUUUAUUCCGUGAAAUCCCUGAGCACAAAGACCAUGAACAUGUCAGGUUCUCCACACAGCAGCCAGCAGAAUGUAGAAUGCAUCAGGGCAGCUGUGCUGUGAGGCUGCAAUGACUCAAAUCAUCUAAUGAGUCAAACGCUAACAGAUUUGAAGGACAUGAGAAAGCCUGAAUACCAUCCUCUCCAAACAGUGGGCCCCUCAAUCU